UGUAAGCGUAUACCAAAGUUGUUGCAGUUAAAACGCUCGUAGUCGGAAUUUGGCAGUUCCGGAUGUGUGCACGUCGUGUGCGCACUUCGCGGGGAUUGCUUUUGUGGUCUUGCGUAGGAUGAGGCACUUUUAUUUGUGAACGUCCUCACGCAACCACUUUUUACUGUGAGAAAAUCAGAGUGCUCAAAGCAGGCAUUUGCCGUGAAUGUAUUAGCAUGGAAUAAUAGAAUAGGACUUGGUUCUAUUUUGUUGGUUUGUUGGGACUGAGUAAUGAUUAAGAGGGACAGUUGGGGGCAUUUGUAUUUCGGUGCUAGAGGUGAAAUUCUUAGAUUACCGAAAGACAAACUGCUGCGAAAGCGUCUGCCAAGGAUGUUUUCAUUGA
rnacentral:rRNA from 1 species